ACGAAUGCAGCCAAAGUGGCUCUCAUUCAGGCUCAGGAGUUGUCGGUGCGCAGUGCCAGGCUGUUGGACACCGAAGGGUGCGGCAGUCAGGAUACAGCAUGCCGAGCACUCUGCAUUCCUGAUGAGAGUCGGCCAACAGCAGUUACCCCUGACUCGAAAGGGCUGUCGGGAAGGUAGCUUCUUGGUUUACCAGGAAGAACUUAUAGCCAUCGGCCUGGCAGUUGGGGGUGACUGAGGAGUGCUGUGACUUUUCACACCAGCAGUGCAGGCUCCCUAGGGGCCGGGUCGCUUCUGUCCGUGUGGGCAAUGCUUCCGGGACUGCAUGCAGUGUCGGAAGACAUGUGUGUGCUCGGGUGGGAGGUUGGCCACGCCUUGCACUGAAGUUGUUGGUACCUGGAUGGUUUCAUUC
rnacentral:rRNA from 1 species